GGUGAUACAGUGAGUUAGAAACCGAAAGUAAGUUAAACUGGUGCCGUUCUACACGGAGAGAAGACUUCAGAGACAGGAAGCCUGCAGACACCAGCGCUUUGAGUUCACUCGAUUCUUGUGAGCUCACUCUGGAUCCAAACACAGUACACAGAGAACACUCUCUGUCUGAUGAGGACAGAAAGGUGACAAAUCUGGGAUCUUCACACUCGUAUCCUGAUCAUCCAGAGAGAUUUGAUGUCUAUGGGCAAAUUUCGGUGUAGAGAAAGUCUGACUGGACGCUGUUACUGGGAGGCUGAGUGGAGCAGGGGGAGAGGAGCUGAAGUAGCUCUGACAUAUAAAUCAAUCCAGAGGAAAGAAGACGGUGCUGACUGCAGGUUUGGACAGAAUGUAAAGUCCUGGAGGCUGGACUGCUCUGAUAGCAGUUACUCUGUCUAUCACAAUAAUGACAGCACUGCUGUCCAGGCUGCUCCCUCCAGCUCUAAUAGAGUAGGAGUGUAUGUGGACUGGCCAGGGGGCACUCUGUCCUUCUACAGAGUCUCCCCUGAUACACACACACUGACUCACCUAUACACAUUCAACACCACAUUCACUGAACCGCUCUAUGCUGGAUUUACUCUAUGGCGUGAUUAUCCUGGCUCGUCAGUGCAUGUGUGUGAGAUAGAAUAGCCUCCUAUGUGUGUUUGUGUGUCCUCUACACAAACAACUAAAGCUCAUGAACAUCACAACACACAGUUACAACAAGGAAAACUAGACUGUCACACUCUGUCUCUGUCUAUCUCUCUCUCUGUCUCUGUCUCUUAAAUUUAAUUAAAUGGAUAUGUUUAUGGUUUUAACAGCAAUAAUUAAAUAGUUGCAGGCAGCAGUAUCAUCAGGAGGAUCAGUGGCAGGUGUAGCUUUCUGCACAGCAUUAAACAGCAGGAUGCACCAUGGUGGUCAAACUGGUGGUCCUAUUAACCCUACAACUGACAUAUCGCCACAAUGUUCUUUAUGUGAGUUGGAAUUGGCGACUGUCACUCAGAAAAAUAUAAUUAAAAAUAGUGAAAAUAAUAAAAAUGUAAAAGUAAGUAAAAGUAAAUAAAUAAAUAUCACUGUUUUGUAACUGUAUAUUGUCAAAGAAAAAUCUCCUUACUUUUAUUCCUAUCCUUGCACAAAUUAAUUCCUAUGAGAUAUUCUUACUGGGCCACUUUUCACAUUCACUAUUGUCUACUAUUCACUAGACAAUAUUGUACUAUCGUCUAGUGUUAAGGCACUGGAUCUUUAGACUGUUCUGUACUAUUGUCAUUAUUGUACUACUGUACUAUUGGAUUACUGUACUAUUGUACAGUACUGUACAAUUGUCAUUCUGUACUAUUGUCAUUUAUUUAUUGUAAAAUGUCAUUAAUUCAUUUAUUUACUCUUAUUUCUUUAUGUUUUCUGUGAAUUGUUCCUACAAUAUGCAGUAAUUUAUAGCUGGUAUUGUACCUUUGCCCCUACACAUGCUGCUUUAAAUAGAAGGGUUUUUUAUUAAUAUGUAAAUACAAAGACAGAAAUGCUGUCUAUAGAAAGGGCUCUUUGGUUUGGUUUGAGCUGCGCCCACAGUGUUCAUCUGUGGAGUCUUUUAUUUUGAAAGCAUGUUUCCGAUGACGUUGUUGCACAACGGAUAAAUCUACCCUGAAUGUGGAAUUGCAGGCUGCUCCAUUGAUAGUAUAUAUAUACUGGACCCAGUCAUCCCACUGUUUUCAAUGGGGUCCAGGUGAGGUCAGUCUUCUCACUUCCUGAUCAGAUUCUCAUGCAGAGGUCAGUGGGAAUGCAUGAGACUGCACAGGCGCCUUAAUGACAACUUCUACUGUGCAGUUCAAAUUACCACACUGAGUGUGGGAGCUGCCCAGCAAUGAUCUGUGAAUGUGUUGGAGGAACAAAAAGUAUCACAACCAUUCAGCACUACAGGACACUUUCACCAAAUAACUAAUUUUUAGUUACUACUUCCUAAUAAUGAUCAUUAUUAAAUAAAUAAAUAGAUAAAUAAAUGCGUUAAUAAUGAUUAUAUUAAUACUCACUAUUUAAUCAAUUAUUUCUUUAUUUUGCAAUGAUAAUAAUUGUACAUAAUUUAUAUAGUAUUCAUAAUUAUUAUUUUACAAUCCAAACAAAGCAUAAGUAAAAUUAAAUUCAUUCACUACUGAAUAAAUACAUAAAUAAUAAAAACAAUAUAUUCAUGAAAAAAACACAGUUAUUACAAUGUCUUUACUCACUCUAUGAAAUCAUGUACUGUGAGUGCCUGUCUCUAUUGUUUUUUUUGGUGCACUACACAACAUCAAACACUGCAUUUUGAUUAAAUUGCCAUUGUUAAGAA